rnacentral:rRNA from 1 species
AGAGUUUGAUCAUGGCUCAGGAUGAACGCUGGCGGCGUGCUUAACACAUGCAAGUCGAACGGGAAUGCUUCGCUGAUGCGAUUUCGGUCAAAUCUUGAAGCAUUUUAGUGGCGGACGGGUGAGUAACGCGUGGGUAACCUGCCCUGUACAGGGGGACAACAGUUGGAAACGACUGCUAAUACCGCAUAAGCGCACAGCUUCGCAUGAGGCAGUGUGAAAAACUCCGGUGGUACAGGAUGGACCCGCGUCUGAUUAGAUAGUUGGUGAGGUAACGGCCCACCAAGUCAACGAUCAGUAGCCGGCCUGAGAGGGCGAACGGCCACAUUGGGACUGAGACACGGCCCAAACUCCUACGGGAGGCAGCAGUGGGGAAUAUUGCACAAUGGGGGAAACCCUGAUGCAGCGACGCCGCGUGAGUGAAGAAGUAUUUCGGUAUGAAAAGCUCUAUCAGCAGGGAAGAAAACAAUGACGGUACCUGACUAAGAAGCCCCGGCUAACUACGUGCCAGCAGCCGCGGUAAUACGUAGGGGGCAAGCGUUAUCCGGAUUUACUGGGUGUAAAGGGAGCGUAGACGGUAGACCAAGUCUGAAGUGAAAGCCCGGGGCUCAACCCCGGAACUGCUUUGGAAACUGGUAAACUAGAGUGCAGGAGAGGUAAGUGGAAUUCCUAGUGUAGCGGUGAAAUGCGUAGAUAUUAGGAGGAACACCAGUGGCGAAGGCGGCUUACUGGACUGUAACUGACGUUGAGGCUCGAAAGCGUGGGAAGCAAACAGGAUUAGAUACCCUGGUAGUCCACGCCGUAAACGAUGAUUACUAGGUGUCGGGGAGUUAAACUCUUCGGUGCCGCAGCAAACGCAAUAAGUAAUCCACCUGGGGCGUACGACCGCAAGGUUGAAACUCAAAGGAAUUGACGGGGGCCCGCACAAGCAGUGGAGUAUGUGGUUUAAUUCGACGCAACGCGAAGAACCUUACCAAGUCUUGACAUCCUGCGACGCACAUAGAAAUAUGUGUUUCCUUCGGGACGCAGAGACAGGUGGUGCAUGGUUGUCGUCAGCUCGUGUCGUGAGAUGUUGGGUUAAGUCCCGCAACGAGCGCAACCCUUACUGUCAGUUACUACGCAAGAGGACUCUGGCAGGACUGCCGUUGACAAAACGGAGGAAGGUGGGGAUGACGUCAAAUCAUCAUGCCCUUUAUGACUUGGGCUACACACGUACUACAAUGGCGUUAAACAAAGAGAAGCAAGACCGCGAGGUGGAGCAAAACUCAGAAACAACGUCCCAGUUCGGACUGCAGGCUGCAACUCGCCUGCACGAAGUCGGAAUUGCUAGUAAUCGUGGAUCAGCAUGCCACGGUGAAUACGUUCCCGGGCCUUGUACACACCGCCCGUCACACCAUGAGAGCCGGGGGGACCCGAAGUCGGUAGUCUAACCGCAAGGAGGACGCCGCCGAAGGUAAAACUGGUGAUUGGGGUGAAGUCGUAACAAGGUA